AUUGAACGCUGGCGGCAUGCUUUACACAUGCAAGUCGAACGGUAACAGGCCGCAAGGUGCUGACGAGUGGCGAACGGGUGAGUAAUGCAUCGGAACGUGCCCAGUUGUGGGGGAUAACGCAGCGAAAGCUGUGCUAAUACCGCAUACGAUCUAUGGAUGAAAGCGGGGGACCGUAAGGCCUCGCGCGAUUGGAGCGGCCGAUGUCAGAUUAGGUAGUUGGUGGGGUAAAGGCCCACCAAGCCGACGAUCUGUAGCUGGUCUGAGAGGACGACCAGCCACACUGGGACUGAGACACGGCCCAGACUCCUACGGGAGGCAGCAGUGGGGAAUUUUGGACAAUGGGCGCAAGCCUGAUCCAGCAAUGCCGCGUGCAGGAAGAAGGCCUUCGGGUUGUAAACUGCUUUUGUACGGAACGAAACGGUCUGGGUUAAUACCCUGGGCUAAUGACGGUACCGUAAGAAUAAGCACCGGCUAACUACGUGCCAGCAGCCGCAGUAAGAC
rnacentral:rRNA from 1 species